rnacentral:rRNA from 1 species
GACGAACGCUGGCGGCGUGCCUAAUACAUGCAAGUUGAGCGCUGAAGGUUGGUACUUGUACCAACUGGAUGAGCAGCGAACGGGUGAGUAACGCGUGGGGAAUCUGCCUUUGAGCGGGGGACAACAUUUGGAAACGAAUGCUAAUACCGCAUAAAAACUUUAAACACAAGUUUUAAGUUUGAAAGAUGCAAUUGCAUCACUCAAAGAUGAUCCCGCGUUGUAUUAGCUAGUUGGUGAGGUAAAGGCUCACCAAGGCGAUGAUACAUAGCCGACCUGAGAGGGUGAUCGGCCACAUUGGGACUGAGACACGGCCCAAACUCCUACGGGAGGCAGCAGUAGGGAAUCUUCGGCAAUGGACGAAAGUCUGACCGAGCAACGCCGCGGGAGUGAAGAAGGUUUUCGGAUCGUAAAACUCUGUUGGCAGAGAAGAACGUUGGUGAGAGUGGAAAGCUCAUCAAGUGACGGUAACUACCCAGAAAGGGACGGCUAACUACGUG